rnacentral:tRNA from 1 species
UGGCUCACUGGUUAGAGCAUUGGGCUUACAAUCGAGUGGUUCUGAGUUCAAUUCCCAG